rnacentral:rRNA from 1 species
UACAGAGGUCUCAAGCGUUGUUCGGAUUCACUGGGCGUAAAGGGUGCGUAGGUGGUUAGGUAAGUCCGAUGUGAAAUCUCCAGGCUCAACCUGGAAAUGGCAUUGGAUACUAUCUAGCUUGAGGAGUGGAGGGGGGGACUGGAAUUCUCGGUGUAGCAGUGAAAUGCGUAGAUAUCGAGAGGAACACCAGUGGCGAAGGCGAGUCCCCUGGACACUUCCUGACACUGAGGCACGAAAGCUAGGGGAGCAAACAGG